rnacentral:lncRNA from 1 species
AAAAAAUUUUGAGGAAAAAAAAUUUUGAGGAAAAAAAAAUUUGAGGAAAAAAAAUUUUGAAGGAAAAAAAAAAUUCAGUUUGGACUUAUAUUUUAUAUACUAAUAUUUUUCAAAAUUUGAAUAUCGAAAAAGGAAAUGGAAACCGAAUAAGGAAAUGAAAAUCGAAAAAGGAAAUAGAAACCGAAUAAGGAAAUAGAAACCGAAAAAGGUAAUGAAUAUUGAAAAAGGAAAAAGAAACCGAAUAAGGAAAAAGGAACCAAAUAAGGAAAUGGAAAUUGAAUAAGGAAAUGAAAAUCCAAUAAGGAAAUAGAAACCG